ACACGUAGGGGGCGAGCGUUGUUCGGAAUCAUUGGGCGUAAAGGGCGUGCAGGCGGUCCUGCAAGUCCGGCGUGAAAGACCCCGGCCCAACCGGGGGGACGCGCUGGAAACUGCGGGGCUUGAGUACAGGAGGGGAUGCCGGAAUUCCAGGUGUAGGGGUGAAAUCUGUAGAUAUCUGGAAGAACACCAAUGGCGAAGGCAGGCAUCUGGCCAUGUACUGACGCUGAGACGCGAAGGUGCGGGGAGCAAACAGGUUUAGAUACCCUGGUAGUCCGCACAGUAAACGAUGUGCACCAGGUGGCGGGGGGCCGACCCUCGGUACCGUAGCUAACGCAUUAAGUGCACCGCCUGGGGAGUAUGCUCGCAAGGGUGAAACUCAAAUGAAUUGACGGGG
rnacentral:rRNA from 1 species